GCCGGGGUGGCGGAAUCGGCAGACGCGAGGGACUUAAAAUCCCUUGGACCAAAAGUUCGUGCGGGUUCGACCCCCGCCCCCGGCA
rnacentral:tRNA from 1 species